AAGCCUAUACUUUCAGGGAUUAUUUCUUUAGUUACUACUAUUGAGUUUUCUUUGAGUGGACAGAGCACUGAAAACCGCAGAGGUGCAUGGAGUUGCUUUACUGUAGCUGCUACUUGCCAUUCUUCUUUCUCUGGGAGAGUAAGGGAGAGGUUGCAGUCUGAAUGGU
ensembl:snoRNA U3 Small nucleolar RNA U3